rnacentral:rRNA from 1 species
CCUACGGGGGGCAGCAGUGGGGAAUUUUGGACAAUGGGGGCAACCCUGAUCCAGCCAUUCCGCGUGAGUGAAGAAGGCCUUCGGGUUGUAAAGCUCUUUCGCAAGGGAAGAAAACUUACCUAAUAACACUAGGUGAGGCUGACGGUACCCUGAUAAGAAGCACCGGCUAACUACGUGCCAGCAGCCGCGGUAAUACGUAGGGUGCGAGCGUUAAUCGGAAUUACUGGGCGUAAAGCGUGCGCAGGCGGUCUUGAAAGUCAGAUGUGAAAUCCCCGGGCUCAACCUGGGAACUGCGUUUGAAACUCCAAGACUAGAGUAUGGCAGAGGGGGGUAGAAUUCCACGUGUAGCAGUGAAAUGCGUAGAGAUGUGGAGGAAUACCAAUGGCGAAGGCAGCCCCCUGGGUCAAUACUGACGCUCAUGCACGGAAGCGUGGGGAGCAAACAGGAUUAGAUACCCUGGUAGUCCACGCCCUAAACGAUGUCUACUAGUUGUUGGGAGAGUAAAAUCUCUUAGUAACGCAGCUAACGCGCGAAGUANACCGCCUGGGGGGUACGGUCNCAAGAUUAAAACUCAAAGGAAUUGACGGGGGCCCNCACAGCGGUGGAUUAUGUGGAUUAUUCCAUGCANCNCGAAAANCUUACCUGGCCUUGACUUGCUACUACNAANCAAAAUGCUUUAGGUGCCCNAAAGGAAAAUAAACCNGGUGCUNCNUGNUU